CUGUGCCACCCAGGGAUCCAAUUUUUUAAAUAUUUUAUUUAUUCAUGAGAGACACAGAGAGGCAGAGACGUAGAUGAAAAAGCAGGCUCAACCACUGAGCCCCCCAGGCAUCCCUACAGUGAUUUUUAAAGCUUGACUAUUAACAUUCAAUUGAAACAAAGUUUGCUAAUCUACUAUUUACAUAGAAAUUACUACUGAUUUUGAACAAGGGAAAUCUCUUUGGCAAAUUAUGAAUACUAGGGUGUUUCAGAAUAUUUUUAAAAUCCAAAGACUGAAAUUUCCCACAGUCUGGAAAAAAUAAGAGCUUUAACAUAUGUGAAGUCAUCUAAUUAACCCCCAGCACCCAGAAGAGUACCUGGAACACAGUAGUGAUUCACUAGCUCAGUGUUUUAUUAAGAGUGGCCUGAGGCACAUUAUUUAACCAAAAAAAUUUUUCCUGUGUCAGAGGAAAAUUCUCUACCUCUUGUCUCUCUGUAUUAAAUAAUACUGCAGAGAUCAAAGGUUGAAACAAACUCGCAUCUGAAAAUACUUGUACUAGAGAUACAAAGAUGAGUAAGAUGAAGUCUAAAAACUACAUGCCUGGGCAGUCAAGCCUGUCCAAGGAGAAUGAGUAAGAAUAAAUUUUUCCAGAAUUACCACGGGAAAAAAACUUAUGGAUUUUCUGGAAUCCUCUCAAUUCUUACCCUUUAUAAAGGUUGUGGAUGAAAAAGAAAAACUCUCAAUUCCUACAACCUUUAUAAAGGUUGUGGAUUGACAACAAAAACAAAACAAAAAGGUUGUGGAUUGUUUUGAGGAAGUAAUGUCCUGAAGAGAAGUGGAGUGAGUAGUAGCAGCCUGUAAUUGAGGACCUGUGAGCAAACUGGAGUUGAAGUAGUUAUUUAAGAUAUCUGUAAAUCCUGCCAUCCUAUAUUCUUUGGAAGUACCCUGUUCCAUGUUCCACACUAUUUCCCCAAUCACCUGUCAGUACAGGAGAAAUUUCACCAUCGUUUCUUUUAGUCUUGAAAAUCUCAGUCUUUGAAAAUUGUAGUGUCAGAGUGGCCUGCAGUAGGACAAGGUAUGGAAGGCUAAGACCUGAGCCCAGGAGAGAGGCUUUUCUAGAAGAGAAAUGAAUCUGUGAAAACAAUAUUAAUUGUGCUUGUCUUUCAGUUUUGUACAGUGCUAACUUUGAGGAUAGACUCUUGUGGAACAAUCUAACAGAUCCAAUAUGGUUGUAAGUGUUAAUACUUACUAAAUUCUGGGCAAUUACCUCAACUGUCUUUGAGGACUGUACUGAAAGGAAGAGAAUACUCUUUGCUGAUCACCUGAUGGGGCUGGAACUCAUGAGCCUGAGAUCAAGUGCCGAAUGCUCUACCAACUGCACCAGGCAGAUGCCCCACAAUGUACUUCCAACGUGUUAAUGUCAAAUCUCUGGUUGAAAGGUAGGUGCAACAAAUUUAAAAGUUCAUGUUUUUACUGAGUGCCUUCAACCAUCAAGCUAACAUUGUUUUCUUCAAAUAUUAAAUGUUGUACACUCUGCAAAUGAAAAUAGAGUACACACAUACACACACCCCAAGGAGCUUUCCUGCAAAUUCUUAAGUUCAUAAUGCUCCUAAGCUGCCCCAGUGAUUCUGGGUAGAAUUAUUUUUUAUACACUACUUUGCCCUAUUUUUUUUUUUUUAAAGAGAGAGUGUUUUUAAAAAUAUUUUAUCUCACAUCAGGGAAUGCAUAAGCAUUUGAAAGAAAAAAUGACUUCUGUAAUCUGGACAGAAUUAUAUUUCUGUCAUCUAAAAAUGAGCUCUGCUGAUUCUGACACAAGCAAUUGGUUUAAGUACAAUAAAAAAAAAUAGUAACUUUCAAAGCUUAAUUGGGGGCUUCACAGGCUGUCUACUUGAGUGUAUUCCUUUCUCAUCAAAUAGAUAAGUACAGAGGGUUAUGCAAAUUUUCUCACAUAAAAUUGUUAAUAUUCCUAAUUCUGAAAGGAAAUGUCUUUUACAUAUUUGUCAUCCUUUGGCCCUAGAAUUUCCUGUGCCACCUUAUUGAAAUGGUGAUUAGUGAUAUUUUCAACUCAGAGCCAAGUACUGGCUUGCAGCCUUUACACCAUCUUUUUUGUCAGUAAAUGAAUAAAAUAAUGGAGAAAUUAUAAUGGCUUCCUGCCCCCUAGUGAUCUGUGGUGGAUUGUGGUAGGAAGGAUGAACAACUGUCAUACCAAUGGCCUUCAACGAUUUGGUUCUCCUAAAUAUGAGGAAACAUAUAGGAUUGAAGCUUCUUAAUGCUAAAGUCAAUUAAGCAUAUGAAUAUAAACAUGUAAGAGUUAUUGGUUCAAAAUUAGCAUGGUUCAAAAUUAGCAUUAACGUAGUUUGAGUUUACGUUAUUGUCAUUUAGUUAAAAUUCAUAUUUACCAAUACAGUCACAAAUAUCUUCGCAUUUUAAAUCCUUGCAUCUUUGCCUUUUGCCAGCAGAUAAAUUUAUAAGUAGCUAAAUUUCAUCUGGUUUUAGUAGGAGACUCUACCCAUACAUUACCAAGUAAUAGGUCCUUGAGUUUGACAGAAGGCAAUGAAAGUAGGCCAUCUAAGUGAUUAUAGACAUCUGUGGAGUCUUCACUAUCUUAUUUGUCUCUUCACUUAAAGAGUAACAUUUGGCAGAUGGUAGAAAGACCAUUAGAGUAGUGGACUUAAUAUAGUAGUAAAAUCUAUCAUAGGUUUUAGACAUCAGGUAAUAGAUGCAUAAAGUUGAAGUCAGAUUGGGAGGGGGAUUGUUUCACUUAAAGCAUUAAAUGUUCAUUUUUUUAGUUUGCUGCUAGGUUAGGGUGUAUAAACAGCUGUCGUUUCCUGAAAUUAUCUUUCAUUUCUUUUAUAAGACUGUCUUUAUGAGUUAACACAAAGUAUUUUUGGUAAAUUGAAUUAUAAAGCUAGAAUAACCAACUUGUUUUUAGACAAAUUUAGAUUAGUCUAUAAACUUUAAGCAGAUCAAUCACAAUAUGGCAAUUAGGGAUUUUGUUUUGUUUUUUAGCCAAAGAAAUGAAAAUUUUCUUAUCCAUAUCAUCUGUUAAGACAAAAAAAGAGGAAAUUUGUUAUUCUGGGGUCCUGAUUUUUCUUGGGAAUCUUUUCAAAUGAUUUGAAUUAUUGAACUUAUCAGUCUCACAAUCAUUAAGACGGUGACUGGCUGGAGAGUAAAAUAUAAAGGUCAGGAAGAGGGAAAACAGGAGGGAAAAAAGUCACAGAGGUAGAAAUAGAGAAGUUGAAUUCAAAUUAAUUUUUAAUUGAGUACUUAAACAAUGGGCCCUCCAAAAUGGCUGAUAAUACCACUAAAGGUUUAAAUAAAGGAAAAUAAAACACAUCAAUAUUUAGUAUUUCUAAAACAUCAUUCUGAAUGACCCAUUCAAAUAAUAAGUUUUGUUUCCAACUGAUACAUUUUCACAUUAUCCAACAUGUUCAUAUUAGGUACCCACUACCUUACCAGGCACAGCAGAUCAGAUGAUGAACAUGGAGCACAGAGUUUCAACAGGUUUAUCACGUGUUCUAGACUGAAAAGGCCCUUCAUUGUACCUCUUGGUAGGUGAGGUAUGUGGCUUAGUGGGUAAGUACAGGCACAUAGAAAUCAGGUCUAGGUUCAAAUUCCAGCUCUAAUGUUAAAUUUCUGUGUGAUCUUAGGAAAAAUACUCCCUCAGUGCCCCAUCUGGAAAAUUAGGAUAAUACUUACCUCAUAGAGCUGUGAGGUUUAAGUAAAAUUGUAUAUACAAAGCACUUAGCAGAGCAUAAAGAACACUAAAGGGAUACCUGGAUUACUCAUUGAGAGCUCUAGGAUGGAUGGGUCACGGGCUUCCAAAUCUGGGCUGCAGCUUCGGGCUCUUAACACCCCAAAGAACUCCUACUUGCUUCAGUUCACUGGAAAGCAUCCUGUCACCCCGUUUGAUACAGCUCAAGUAUUAAGGAGAUGGCGGGCCUUCCCCAAGGAUAUGUCCCCACAGAGCUUUUUGGCACCCUGGAAUCCUAGGCAUUGUUAAUAUUAGGGUGCCUAUAGGACACUAGUAUUUAUCACCGAAAAGCAUGAUAAAUGACAGGAGGUGGGGCAGGAGAGGAAAGAUGAGGAACUGAUUAAGUAGAUUAAUGGCAAACAACAAAUAAUUUUAACUGCUAAAGCCCAUUAAAAAUUAAGGAAUACACCAAAUUUAUUCUGAACAAUGUGUACACAUACACAUUCAGGUCUUUCUUUUGCUUGGUACUAAUUUACCAUUUUGGUAACAAUGACAUUUUCACUAUUAAACUGGUUCCUGGGGGGGAUUUUCCAGAAAUCUAUUAAAUAUGGAAGUUCUUUAAGGUUGUAGAGGAAGAAGUAUUGUUUAAUCAGGGAGAAGGUUGCCAACCACCACCCAGCCUCUCUUCCUACUUUUUUAGAAUAUAGAAGUUGGCAUAUCACCUCAAGUAUUUAAGCAUAUCCUUGGCAUGUUGACAACAAUUGUUUUAUUAGGCAUUUUAUAGCUAUAAUUGUCUCAAAGUAUCAGUAUUACUUUAACCUAUCAAAUUACUUUAAUCUCUGCCCUCACAUAGACAAUUCCAAAUGUUUAUUUUUUAUUCAGCUUUUACAUCUUUUUCAUAUUUUUGUUCUCAACUUCAGUACUUAAAUCAAUGAUUUUUUUCAUGUCAGUCUAUUGUUUUUCCUUUUAACUGAUGCUCUGACUGCCCUAGCGAAGUCUGUCCUUUUAAUUCUUUUAGUUUUAUGACUAGCCCCUGGAAUACUUACAUUCUUCCUUCUAUGUUUUGUCUGUAUUCAAACUUCAUACAUUAAACACUAGCCGUGUAUCAUUUUAUGCCUGAGAGUCAUUUCUCUGAAUAUUUUUACUUUAAAAAUAUGGGAGAGAUUAAGACAAAUUUUUAAGUCUUACUCCACUACUGCUUCAUUGUGUUUUAUUAAUCUGAGAUUUUUGAGUCCUGUUUACUAAAGAAUUAUAAACAUCUGAGUCUCACCGUAACUGGUGACAAGCUUUUUAGGCUCUGACUCCAUUUCUCCAGGAUUUCUUGCUGGAGAACAACAGGCCCUUUAAGCAAGACUGUAAGACACAAGAUGCCACAUAUGUGUCUAGAUUUUUCUUUCGUUUUUUGGAUUUGGAGCCAAAUUACAUAAAGACAGGAGGAGAAGGCAGCUUCCACAAGGGCUAGACGCAGUAACCCCAGCAGAGGGAAGUCAGAGGGAACUGGGUUGGAGAGAGAGGCGUCAGACAUUUUCAUUCCCCUUAAGAGGCAAGUAGCCUUUCCAUAUACUCUCUGCCUUAAUAAGGAAAACUUGUACAUUACAUGUAACAGAACCCUGUGCUGCCCUGUAGCUAGUUCCAAGACAAAAACACAAGGUGUCCUGUGUCAUAUGACACUAGGAGGAGACAACAUGGUAAGGUGGGGCUUUGUGAAACCAUAAACAUCUCAGUUAUGUAGAGUUAGAUUAUGUUCAAUGUUUAUAUAUUUACUUGCUAAUUGUUGGCUGUUAGUACAUGUGAAAACGCUAAAUUAAUCCCCCCCUUUCCUAAUGGAAGAGGUAAUCCUUUUUACAGCAUGGUAGUAUUUAGAAAACCCUGUUCUUUAAUGGUGGGAAGCUACUGCAAUAAAUUUUCAUGAGGAUCAGUAAAAAAGUGAUCCUCCUAAAAACUCUGUCCAUUAAACUAUAUAAAUAGUUUGGAAAUUUGGAGUGAGUUUAUCUUGUCUUUACACAAGCCUCUGAUGGUUUCUGGGUUUGUUACACUUUUAUCAGGUUCCUAUCAAUAAUGUAUAUAUAUUUCAUUUAAAGUUUCAUUUCAGAUUGAAUUCCUUGAUAAACUACUGUGUCCAAGACUAAGAUGAAUCACUUUUCCUGCUUUUUCUGCUACGUGGCUUUU